GCUAUUGCGAAGAGACGGAUUAGUAAACAAAGUUCUACCUGCCCCGCUGCAGGUGGCUGUUAUGGAGACCCUUUGGGGAGGCCAUUGUCGCCAUGUUUGACCAGGAGGCUAAACCUUCAAGUGGUGUCUUAAAGGAUGAGAAGAAAGAUUUUAUUAAAGUCAAAGUUAUUGGAGAAGAUGGAAGUGAGAUACACUUCAGACUGAAAAUGACAACAAGGCUCAAGAAACUUAAGGACUCAUAUAGUCGAAGACUGGAUCUGUCAGUGAAUUCACUGAAGUUUCUCUUUGAAGGCCAGAAGAUUGCCGAUGACCAUACUGCAGAAGAGCUGGGGAUGGAGGAGGAAGACGUGAUCGAAGUCCAUCAGGAACAAACGGGAGGUGGAGUGUCGUCAGUCGGCAGUUUAGGAAGAUCUGACGGAAAUCUAUCUGGAAAAAUAGGAAAUCAUCAAACAGUUUAGAUGUUCUUGGGCAAGGUGGAAAUUUUCAGAGAAUUGAACCUUGACGUGUGAUCUUGCCUCAGAUUGAAGCUGCUUCUAAAGUCUGAGGGUCUGGUCCAAGAGCAGAGUAUUGGCUUUGGAGUCGUGAUGACAGAUACGGCAAGAGUCACAACUGACUGCCAAGACUGCUCACUGAAGAGAGAGCAUCUCAGGAUUAAAUUUGUUUUGUCACGUGAGCCCAGAAUGUUCUAAUUUUCAUCAGCAGUUAAUAAUAAAGUUAU